rnacentral:rRNA from 1 species
GGAUUAGGCAUGCAAGUCGAGCGAGAACCCGCAAGGGGGACAGCGGCGAACGGGGUAGGACAACGUAGGUAACGUACCCUCGGGGCGUGGACAGCCACGGGAAACUGUGGGUAAUACUCGAUAAACUUCCCAAUCAUUAUGGAAGGGGAAGCAAUGGGUGUGAUUCCACCUGAGGAGCGGCUUACGCAGUAUCAGCUAGUUGGUGAGGUAACGGCUCACCAAGGCUACGACGCUUAGGGGGUGUGAGAGCAUGGCCCCCACCACUGGCACUGAGACACUGGCCAGACACCUACGGGUGGCUGCAGUCGAGAAUCUUCGGCAAUGGACGCAAGUCUGACCGAGCGACGCCGCGUGCGGGAUGAAGGCCUUCGGGUUGUAAACCGCUUUGGUCCGAGAGAAAGGGCAACUUGAUCGAUCGGAGAAACAAGGACGGGCUAAGUUCGUGCCAGCAGCCGCGGUAAUA